rnacentral:misc_RNA from 1 species
UCCGGUUUGGCACCGGCAGUCCCUCUAGAGUCCUCGACAUUAGCGAUAAACUGUUAGUGUCUAAGCAAAAGCGUUAAGUGAUCCACCUGGGGAGUACGCUCGCAAGAGUGAAACUCAGAGUAAUUGACGGGGGCCCGCACAAGCGGUGGAGCAUGUGGUUCAAUUCGACGCAACGCGAAGAACCUUACCUGGGCUAGACAACGGUGGACCGUCCUAGAAAUAGGAUUUUCCCUUCGGGGACUGCCGGUUCAGGUGCUGCAUGGCUGUCGUCAGCUCGUGCCGUGAGGUGUUGGGUUAAGUCCCGCAACGAGCGCAACCCUUGUCCUUAGUUGCCACCAUUCAGUUGGGCACUCUAGGGAGACUGCCGGCGUUAAGCCGGAGGAAGGUGGGGAUGACGUUU